rnacentral:rRNA from 1 species
AAAUGAAUUGACGGGGCCGCACAAGCGGUGGAGCAUGUGGUUUAAUUCGACGCAACGCGAAAAACCUUACCUGGGCUUGACAUGUUGGUAGUAGUGAACCGAAAGGGAAACGAUCCUGAGCAAUCAGGAAGCCAACACAGGUGCUGCAUGGCUGUCGUCAGCUCGUGUCGUGAGAUGUUGGGUUAAGUCCCGUAACGAGCGCAACCCCUACCUUUAUUUGCCAUCAUUGAGUUGGGCACUCUAAAGGAACCGCUCCGGUUAACGGGGAGGAAGGUGGGGAUGACGUCAAGUCCUCAUGGCCUUUAUGCCCAGGGCUACACACGUGCUACAAUGGCCAGUACAAAGGGCUGCGAACCCGCGAGGGGGAGCUAAUCCCAUAAAGCCAGUCGUAGUCCGGAUCGUAGUCUGCAACUCGACUGCAUGAAGUUGGAAUCGCUAGUAAUCGUGGAUCAGCACGCCGCGGUGAAUACGUUCCCGGGCCUU